AGGCUUCAGUAGCACAUGUACUAAAAUUUGAAGGAUAUGGAGAAGUUUAGGGCAGGCCCUGUGAAAGGAUGACACCCACAUGCUUUCAUCCAUUUUAUU
rnacentral:snRNA from 1 species